rnacentral:rRNA from 1 species
AUGUCGACGACGGUGCACAAGGUGGCGACGCACGCUGCAUCGGCGGCGGGGGCGAGAAUGAAGGGUCGGCGGCCGCCGAGCGUGGUGAGGGAGAUCGUGUACGGCAUGAGCCUGGGGCUCUUCGCGGGGUACCUGUGGAAGCUGCACCACUGGAGCAACCAGCGCCGCACCCGCGAGUUCCACAGCCUGCUCGACCAGGGCAGGAUCUCCGUCGUCGUCGACGAGCCGGCCGGAGCAAGGACUAGCAUUAUCCAUAUAGUUUCACCUGCCUACCCACUAGGAGAGGUAUUUUCAGUCCGUGCUUCCACAGAUCAGUAA